rnacentral:lncRNA from 1 species
GGGCCGGGCACCCUGAGAUACCACUGAACCGCCUCUGUACAUAUGAAUCAGAUAAAGAGUACAUCGAAGCCGAUGAAGGUCCGCUUGAUUAGGGAGCUACCAUUUCAUUUUUAUGGGGGGGCUAGGAGGAAAAAUUUUGUCCUGCAUUUUUUUUAGCUGUAAUCUCUGUCCUGCCUUUUUAUUUUUCACUCUGUUCGGUCCUGCCUUUUUUUUUUUAGUUUAUCCUGCCUUUUUUUACCUAAAUUGUCGUCCUGACUUUUUUUUUUUGCAAGUGUCUCAUCCUGCCUUUUUUUUUUACUCAAAACUCCUGUCCUGCCUAUUUUUUUCAAAUUUCAUCCUAGCCCCCCCAUAAAAAUUAAAUGGUAGCUCCCUUAGCAUG